UACGGAGGGGGCUAGCGUUGUUCGGAAUUACUGGGCGUAAAGCGCACGUAGGCGGCUUGGUAAGUUGGGGGUGAAAUCCCGGGGCUCAACCUCGGAAUUGCCUCCAAGACUGCUUGGCUUGAGUUCGGAAGAGGUGAGUGGAAUUCCCAGUGUAGAGGUGAAAUUCGUAGAGAUUGGGAAGAACACCAGUGGCGAAGGCGGCUCACUGGUCCGAUACUGACGCUGAGGUGCGAAAGCGUGGGGAGCAAACAGG
rnacentral:rRNA from 1 species